AUGCAGCCAAUUAAGCCAACCAUGCUACUUUCCUCAUGCAGCCCGGUGUGCAAUGCCUGCCUACAGCAGCCUCCUUGGUAGUGUAUGUAGCCUGUUGCUUACUUGUAUGGGUUGCUCUAAGGGACCUUGGAGACAGUC